rnacentral:rRNA from 1 species
UCGAGCGGACAGAUGGGAGCUUGCUCCCUGAUGUUAGCGGCGGACGGGUGAGUAACACGUGGGUAACCUGCCUGUAAGACUGGGAUAACUCCGGGAAACCGGGGCUAAUACCGGAUGGUUGUUUGAACCGCAUGGUUCAAACAUAAAAGGUGGCUUCGGCUACCACUUACAGAUGGACCCGCGGCGCAUUAGCUAGUUGGUGAGGUAACGGCUCACCAAGGCAACGAUGCGUAGCCGACCUGAGAGGGUGAUCGGCCACACUGGGACUGAGACACGGCCCAGACUCCUACGGGAGGCAGCAGUAGGGAAUCUUCCGCAAUGGACGAAAGUCUGACGGAGCAACGCCGCGUGAGUGAUGAAGGUUUUCGGAUCGUAAAGCUCUGUUGUUAGGGAAGAACAAGUACCGUUCGAAUAGGGCGGUACCUUGACGGUACCUAACCAGAAAGCCACGGCUAACUACGUGCCAGCAGCCGCGGUAAUACGUAGGUGGCAAGCGUUGUCCGGAAUUAUUGGGCGUAAAGGGCUCGCAGGCGGUUUCUUAAGUCUGAUGUGAAAGCCCCCGGCUCAACCGGGGAGGGUCAUUGGAAACUGGGGAACUUGAGUGCAGAAGAGGAGAGUGGAAUUCCACGUGUAGCGGUGAAAUGCGUAGAGAUGUGGAGGAACACCAGUGGCGAAGGCGACUCUCUGGUCUGUAACUGACGCUGAGGAGCGAAAGCGUGGGGAGCGAACAGGAUUAGAUACCCUGGGUAGUCCACGCCGUAAACGAUGAGUGCUAAGUG